rnacentral:rRNA from 1 species
ACUCCUACGGGUGGCUGCAGUGGGGAAUAUUGCGCAAUGGGGGGAACCCUGACGCAGCCAUGCCGCGUGAAUGAAGAAGGCCUUCGGGUUGUAAAGUUCUUUCGGUAUUGAGGAAGGUUGAUGUGUUAAUAGCACAUCAAAUUGACGUUAAAUACAGAAGAAGCACCGGCUAACUCCGUGCCAGCAGCCGCGGUAAUACGGAGGGUGCGAGCGUUAAUCGGAAUAACUGGGCGUAAAGGGCACGCAGGCGGUUAUUUAAGUGAGGUGUGAAAGCCCUGGGCUUAACCUAGGAAUCGCAUUUCAGACUGGGUAACUAGAGUACUCUAGGGAGAGGUAGAAUUCCACGUGUAGCGGUGAAAUGCGUAGAGAUGUGGAGGAAUACCGAAGGCGAAGGCAGCCCCUUGGGAAUGUACUGACGCUCAUGUGCGAAAGCGUGGGGAGCAAACAGGAUUAGAUACCCUGGUAGUCCACGCUGUAAACGCUGUCGAUUUGGGGAUUGGGCUUAGAGCUUGGUGCCCGUAGCUAACGUGAUAAAUCGACCGCCUGGGGAGUACGGCCGCAAGGUUAAAACUCAAAUGAAUUGACGGGGGCCCGCACAAGCGGUGGAGCAUGUGGUUUAAUUCGAUGCAACGCGAAGAACCUUACCUACUCUUGACAUCCUAAGAAGAGCUCAGAGAUGAGCUUGUGCCUUCGGGAACUUAGAGACAGGUGAUGCAUGGAUGUCGUCAGCUCGUG